AUGAAACAGACUCAGGUACGACCAAAGCGAAAAAAAAGCAACAGCUUCUCUCUGUCUCUUAUUCUCUCUAGGCUCAAUCUUUCUG
rnacentral:miRNA from 1 species